GGGGUUCUAGCUCAUCGGUAGAGUGCUCGCUUAGCAUGCGAGAGGCGCUGGGUUCGAUUCCCAGGUACUCCA
rnacentral:tRNA from 1 species